rnacentral:rRNA from 1 species
GACACAGGGUGCAAACGUUGUUCGGAUUUACUGGGCGUAAAGCGCGUGUAGGCGGCUUGGCAAGUCGGAUGUGAAAGCCCACGGCUCAACCGUGGAAGCGCAUCCGAAACUGCUUCGCUCGAGUCUCGGAGAGGAAGGUGGAAUGCUUGGUGUAGAGGUGAAAUUCGUAGAUAUCAAGCAGAACACCUGCGGCGAAGGCGGCCUUCUGGACGAUGACUGACGCUGAGACGCGAAAGCGUGGGGAGCAAACAGG